AAACUUGCAGUGAGGCUCUCGCAGGAGACACGCUCCCAUCAGGACACCCUCAGCUGCAACCAUGUUCCAUGUCGUUGCGCUGGUGUUGCUGGCCGCUGCUUCCAGCGUCAAGUGCGAACAGUUGACCCAGCCGCCGUCUGUGACUCUGCGGUCCGGUCAGGAGUUAAACAUCGCCUGUCAGGUGUCUUAUUCGUUAAGCAGCUACUACACUGCGUGGGUCAGGCAGGCGGCUGGGAAAGGACUGGAAUGGAUCGGGAUGAGAUUCACUGGGGCCUAUUACCGCAAGGAUUCCCUGAGUAGCAAGUUCAGUAUUGAACUCGACCCCUCCAGCCAAACCGUAACCCUGAAUGGACAGAAUAUGCAGCCUGAAGACACGGCUGUGUAUUACUGCGCCAGACAAACACAACAAUAAAAACCAUCAGGAGACCUGAACAAAAAGCUAACAAUA